rfam:Rhodotorula graminis WP1 unplaced genomic scaffold RHOBAscaffold_1, whole genome shotgun sequence.
UCUCCUGUGGCGCAGCUGGCAGCGCAGUAUGCUUAUAUGACACCGAUUUUUGUUACGUAUUGGUCGCGGGUUCGAACCCCGCCAGGAGAA